rnacentral:rRNA from 1 species
UACGGAGGGUGCGAGCGUUAAUCGGAAUAACUGGGCGUAAAGGGCACGCAGGCGGGCUUUUAAGUGAGAUGUGAAAUCCCCGGGCUUAACCUGGGAAUAGCAUUUCAGACUGGGGGGCUAGAGUACUUUAGGGAGGGGUAGAAUUCCACGUGUAGAGGUGAAAUUCGUAGAGAUGUGGAGGAAUACCGAAGGCGAAGGCAGCCCCCUGGGAAUGUACUGACGCUCAGGUGCGAAAGCGUGGGGAGCAAACAGG